UGAACGCUAGCGGCAGGCCUAACACAUGCAAGUCGAGGGGUAACAGGGAAGCUUGCUUCCGCUGACGACCGGCGAACGGGUGCGUAACACGUAUGCAACCUGCCUCUAACUGGGGAAUAGCUCAUAGAAAUGUGAAUUAAUACCCCAUAAUAUAUAUAUUAGGCAUCUUUUAUAUAUUAAAGCUCCGGCGGUUAGAGAUGGGCAUGCGGGACAUUAGCUUGUUGGUGAGGUAACUGCUCACCAAGGCAACGAUGUCUAGGGGGUCUGAGAGGACUAUCCCCCACACUGGUACUGAGACACGGACCAGACUCCUACGGGAGGCAGCAGUGAGGAAUAUUGCGCAAUGGAGGCAACUCUGACGCAGCCAUGCCGCGUGCAGGAAUAAGGCCCUAUGGGUUGUAAACUGCUUUUAUACGGGAAGAACUGCAUCUACGUGUAGAUGUUUGACGGUACCGUAAGAAUAAGGAUCGG
rnacentral:rRNA from 1 species